rnacentral:rRNA from 1 species
UACAGAGGUCUCAAGCGUUGUUCGGAUUCAUUGGGCGUAAAGGGUGCGUAGGUGGCGCCGUAAGUGGGGUGUGAAAUCUCGGGGCUUAACUCCGAAACUGCAUUCCAUACUGCGGUGCUUGAGGACUGGAGAGGAGACUGGAAUUCAUGGUGUAGCAGUGAAAUGCGUAGAGAUCAUGAGGAAGACCAGUGGCGAAGGCGGGUCUCUGGACAGUUCCUGACACUGAGGCACGAAGGCCAGGGGAGCAAACGGG